rnacentral:rRNA from 1 species
AAUGACUGAUGAACGCGCCCAAUCUCGUCUGAUCUCGGAAGCUAAGCAGGGUCGGGCCAGGUUAGUACUUGGAUGAGUCAAGCAAACAGGAAUUC